rnacentral:rRNA from 1 species
UACGUAGGGGGCAAGCGUUGUCCGGAAUCAUUGGGCGUAAAGCGCGUGUAGGCGGUUCGGUAAGUCGGCUGUGAAAGUCCAGGGCUCAACCCUGGGAUGCCGGUCGAUACUGCCGGACUAGAGUUCGGAAGAGGCGAGCGGAAUUCCCGGUGUAGUGGUGAAAUGCGUAGAUAUCGGGAGGAACACCAGUGGCGAAGGCGACUACCUGGCCUGUUCUUGACGCUGAGGCGCGAAAGCUAGGGGAGCAAACGGG